CUGAUAAAUAAAUAAAAUCUUAAAAUAUAUAUAUAUAUAUAUAAAAGUCAUAAUUCCAUUUUGGUAGUUCACUUCGAGAAAGUUUUCUUUUGUAGUAAGUCUUCAUUAGUCCUCUGUUGACAGCUUCCCUUUUGUGCUGACAGAUUAGCCAGGGAUCAUCAUGGGCAUAGGGGAAGCUAGUUUGCCAAGCUCCAUCAGUAAUUCAGAAAUCAUGUAAAAACCGCCCGCCUUCAGCUUUGGGAGCCACUGGGAGGCAUUUUGGAAAAUGGAGGGGGUCGCAGAAUUGGCCUCUUUGAAUGGAACCUUAAGCUACCUGCCUUAGUCCAGGUGAUCACGCAGGGGAAAAGAACUUCCCUGGGCUGUGAACUGUAUAAAUACUUGCCCUCCAUUUUCCAGUGGAGUCUUUCGAAGGUUAGGUCGUAAAUAGUAAAUAAUCAACCAAGAUUUCUCAGAUUGGCUGCAUUUACCUUUCCCUGAAAAAAAAUUUUUCCCCAUGAAGAUGAAGCGACUUUGGAACGAGAGCAGAAUUUCCUUUUAGGCGUCUCAGCUUCCAACAUUCAGAGAACAAGAUCAGGCCUGGCCUGGCUGGCGGAGACUGCCUGGGGCAGACAGCGAGACCGGCCGAGUGGGAGAGGCGAGACAAGAUUGGAGAGAGGAGGUGGGAAGCCUGUCCCCGAUGGCAAAGCAGAGACAGAGUGUUUUACAGAUCAAGGCCAUCACCACAGGAGUGAAUCUGCCUUCACCAAUAGUGCCUUCAAGAGGCCAAGGUCCAGGAAUGAAGAGAAGGAAGAAAAUCCCAUCAGACCUCACUUCUUAUCAGAAGAGAAGGUUUAAUAUUCCUGAGCAGAGGGAAACUACAGGUUAAAGGCUAAAUUCCUUUGGCUAUAAUGUAAUAAUAAAGUUGUUUUCUGUAUAUAAGGAUCAAACAAAGCCUGCGCUUAAACCAAUCGCACAUGGAGAUACCAUCACUGUCCCUCUCGCUGUGACAUGUUUGUGCUGGCUGAAGCCCGAAGCAUUUUGAGACCGAAACACAGGGGGAUUUGGGCGGAGAGCUGAUCCCAAGCCGAGAGGGCCGGUGACCUGUUGACCAAACACACAUUCCCUCCCUGCAAGCAAAACAAUUCUGCCCCUGUCAUCCGUCAUCCCACUCGAGUGAGGGGUGCUGACAGACUUUGUGUUUAGCCUGCUUUGUUUGCAAGGAGGAAAGGGAGGGUUGCUCUGUCCUGAUAAGAAGGCAAAGGUGGCAUUCCCGUGUUUUUGUUGGAUCCCUUUGCAUGAACAACCUCACCUGUCAAAACAUGAUGAAAAAUGGAAACGGAACAAAGGAGGAAGAGGCAGGAACCAGUGAGAAGAUGGAGUGAACCAGCCAGGGCCUUAAAACACAGUCUGUGGAAUGUCUGGCAGAUCAUUUUAUAACUGCUAAAUUUACUGUUGGGGACUUAAUUGUGUUCGUGUAUGUGUGGGGGUUCAUAUAUUUAUCUUCUGUGACUAAAGGAUUAUCACGGGCAGGACAAUGAAUAUUCUAAAACACUACCGUGCAUGCAAAUCAAUAAUAAAUAAGUGAUUUCUAGACAACGAGAAUCAGACAUAUUAAGUUGCUUUGUACAGUGCCUUUCGCCACUGUAGCUAGUAAUUUCCAGCUUUUUAAGAUACAAUUUUAUAAACAAAGUGCUUUCACGGAGUUGUCUCUCUCAGUGACCCAAACGUUCGCUCACCCUCUUCUCUGAGAACCCCCCGGAGCUUCCUCCCUUGACUUCCAGACCUUGUCCAACAGUGGUGUGUCCUCCAGAAUUUCAUGACAUUCAGGUCCGUCUGUCUCUUGGGCUCAGCUCUUCAGUCCGAUCGAUCCAAAGCCUCUCCCCGCCACCGGCACUUGUGGAACCUGGAAGCUGUCCCCCGCCUCCACCCCUCACUGGGUGAUCAGCUAAUGGAAUAAGUUCUCCGAAUAGUCCCUUCACCUGUUUUCCUUAACAGAAAUCUCCUGAGGACAUUUCUUCCCCCACAGGUCCCUGAGGGGUCGGAAAAAAUUUUCUUCCUUCCUUUCUUUCUUCCUCCCAUGCCCCUUGAACCUUACAAUUGAGAAGUAGAAAAAGCAACCUCUGGUCUCCUCAUCUCCUCGCUCUGUUCUGAAACUGCUCUCUCUCUCGCCCCUUUCCUUCACCUUGCCUCAGUCAUUUCCUUGACCUGUUUUUACUCCUGCUCAUUCAGGGAAUACUUGGGCCCUGGACCUAUGCAUUUCCUCUCCACACUAUCCCUCCCCAUCACUCUGCAGCUGUGGCUUUCACAGGUGACCCAUUCUAGACCCUGGCCUCCCACUUCCUUAACGCUGCCACGCCCCCCCACUCCAGCUCAGCUAUCUACCCUCUUGGUGGACCCUGGACCUUUAUUGACAUCACCAGUAACUGCUUCCUUUCUGAAAUCGCCAAUCCCUACCUUCUUCCUAGUGAUCAGCUGACUUGCUCUGUAGCUACACUUAGUUUACAUUAUGGUUAGAAUCUACCUUUUAAGGGGCACCUGGGUGGUGUAGUUGGUUUAGCGUCUGACUCUUGGUUUCAGCUCAGGUCUGAUUUCAGGGUCUUGAGAUCCACCUCCUCGUUCGACUCCAUGCUCAGUGCCGAGUAUGUUUGAGUUUCUCCCACUUCCUCUGCCCCUCCCCACUGCACACACUCCCUCUCUUUCUCACUGAAAUAAAGCAAUCUUGGAAAAAAAAAAAAAAGGCUCUGCCUACUUGUGAUCUCUGUCAAAUAAAUAAAAUCUUUUAAAAAAAAAAGGAAGAAGAAGAAGAAUCUAUACUACCUUUUAAAAAGAAUGAUCUGUAAGCCUCCUCUCGUCUUCAUUUUCUUUGUUAUCUAGCUUAGAGUCCAUACCCAUUGAUAUUGCUUCCUUAAUAAUACUCUUGGCUCAGUGGAUUUUGUUGGUAAAAAAUAAACCAUUACCUAAAUCUCACAUUUAAUAAAAAAAAAAAAAAAAACUCAAAAUGGCUCAUAGAUUUAAAUGUAAAAUGUAAAACUACAAACCUUUCAGAAGAUGAUCUAGAAGAAAGUCUUCAGGACAUAGGUCUUGGUGAAGAGUUCUUAGAUAUGACACCAAAAAUGUGAUCCAUAAAAGAAAAAAAACUGAAAAAUGGGACUUCAUCAAAACGUAAAAGGUUUACUCUGCAAAAGACACUGUUGACGAAAAGACAAGCAAAAGACUGGGAGAAAUAUUGGCAAAUCACAUUUCUGACAAAGGAUCAGUAUCUAGAAUAUAUAAAGAACUCUCAAAUUUAACUUCAAAAGAAGUUCUAACUUGAAAACUGACAAAAAAUGUGCAGAGACUUCUCACCAGAGAGAAUUUAUGGAAGACAGAUAAGCCCUUGAAAAUAUGAUCAAUAUCAUUAGCCAUUAAGGGAAAUGAAAAUUAAGAUUAUCACUAUGUACUCAUUAGAACAGUUAAAAUAGUGAUACCAUACUGAUAUAAAUAAAUGGAUAAAUAUAUUUAUAAAUGGAAGUGAAAAGACAAAUCUUUCAUGCAGAAUUCCAAAUCAUUUAUAUUUGGUACUACACUGUCUGGGUGCAUUUCUCUCCACCUAAGCAUCAGCUACAGAGAGUGCCUUCCUCCCAAAGAGCACAGUGUGGGAAAAAAAGAAAAAAGAAUAACUUUACAAUGGAGAAAUCUAACAAACGUAAGUUCAGCCUGAUGAUCAAGGUUAACAUCAACAGUGAUAGAGUUGUGAUGAUAGUAUGUAUCCUUGAAAGGAUGUGAUGAGAAGAGCCCUUUGCCUGUGUACCCUUCCUACCGAAACUCCCUAACCCCAGUCCCAGCAUGAGAAAAAACAUCAGAAAACAUCAAGAAAUCAAGUAGAUGUUGACUAGAGACAGAGGUUUUUCUACUAUGUAUAAUUUAUUCAUGCAGAGGUGCUUUCUGAUGGAUGUGAAUUCAACCUACAACCACACUGCCCCAUGGGCUGUUUUGGACCAGGUGGCAUUUGGAGAUUCAAAGACAAAAUGGCCUACAGCAGGCCCAUAGCAGCACUUCCCAACACUGGUCAGGGACAAAACUUUUACUUGACCUUAGAACCCCUACUGUAGAAAUGUCUAUUUUCCCUCCAUAAAGCAGGGAGGGGCAUAAUGGUUCUGUCCUAAAAUGAGGAGCAAUGAGUGGGGAGCCCUCAUGGGGCUAUGGGCCUAGCCCAUAGGCUAUUAGUAAGCCCACAGCUUACUUCCUAUGGGCCCUCUAGCUUGCCUACCUGCUCAUUGUGGGCAAAGUAGAAGAAAAGGCUUGGGAAUUUAGGGGCUCUUGUUCCUUAGUAUCACAGUAUGCCUAAACUAUUUCAAAUCAAUCGCAAAUCAUUCUCAUUUUUGUUCAUUUCAAAGUGAAGGAGAAUUUUUUGAUAGGGACAGUGAUAAAAAUGAAACAGCAAAUCAAGCUGCAUUUUACAGCCCAUCCUCAUGGGUUCAAUCACAUACUAAUGUAUCACAUAUAUACAAUGUUACCAGAUUAAAAGAAAACUUGUACAAGGAAACAUAACAUACAUUGUAUCAUAAAAUAAAAUUCAGUGUUGUAAAUGGUGCCAUGUAUUUUUUUAACUGUUGCUUUAAAAUUAUCUCUGAUUAACAAAUAGUGUUUCUUGGGAAAAGCUUUCUUUUGUUCUGAAAUUAUGAACUUCCUACAUUUUUGGUGUUGAAAUAUCCUUUCCUUUCUGAAAUGUUGGAAAUGAUAGCUUUUUGUUACUGUUGUUGUUGGCAAAAUGAAUAGUUUGGCAACUCCACAUUAGUUAUCUCUCUCAAUUGCUUUGCAAGUUUUACUGUCCUAAAAAAAUUUAAGUCUGGGAACCACUAACCUAAGAAUGCUCUCAUUUUGAAAUAUAAGAGGAUUAAAUAGACAAAAAUUAAGAGGAAUUCUAUGUAAAUUAAGAACUCAGAACAUUUGGCUGAUUUUAUUAGUUUGUUUCCCAUUAUCCAUUGUGUAAAAUUUCACUUACUUCUCUCCCAAUGGUAUGUUAAUUUAUAAACACCCAUGGUAGAAAUGGAAAUAUAGUCUAGCUCUAUAGUAUCCUGUAUCACAAUUGUUUAGAAUAUGUGUUUUUCACUAGUUGAGAUAUUUGAAAGGUUUUGUUGUAGCUGUUUUCAUUUGUUGUGUGUGUUUGCUUUGAUAUUUUUGCUUCCAUCAGAUCAAUCCUAUGGGUCGCGAAGAUUGCAAAUGGACUCCAUGAUGAUUGGAGUGGUUGCUUAUGUAUGUGUCAAAGAAACUAAGUUGAUGGAAAAUAUGAAAAUGUGUCUCUGAGGUUAGUCAUUUUUUCCCUCUACACUGAUCAUAGAAGCAAUAGAGUGAUACCAUGAAAGUUGAAAAUAAUUUGCUCAUGAAUUUUGUAUCCUACUUGGGACAUUUUGAGCAUGAGUGUAGUUUUGCUCUGCCCAGCUGCUGAAAGGCUUUCUAAGGAUGUAAAAAUGAGGUACUGAUUGGAUUUUCCUUCAUUUCCAUCCAUGCCCCAAUUCAAAUACAUCUCAUCUUGCCUCAUUAGAAAGCAGAUCCCUUUACUCCAUUCCAUCCCAUCUCCAUUUCAAUGAGCUGUAGAAGGAAAACACGAUUUCCGUGACACCUGUAGUUUCAGAAUGAGACCAUUUGCAGAGGCUGACUGUUUCACCCACAGCGGGUAGUUUUCCAUCUAUCCACGUUAAUAGUGGAAUUGGAAGAGGUAAUUUCUGAGUGUUUCCCUGCUCAGCCUGAAGACUAAAAUGUGCAGUGUUGUGCCCUUUAUUUUUUUGUAUACAUGCUGCCGAAGUGAGCACGGUGCCCUCUAUUUUUUGAAAAUUCAUUCCCCUUUGGAUUACUUGGGUGUUCCAAAAGCUACUUGUACGAAAAUGUUUCUUGUUAAUAUUUAGAAACAAUUUGAUUAUGGCAACUGAGAUACAAUAUGUGGCAUUACCACAGCUGAAUUACAAUUUGAUCUCUCCUGCCCCCAGCAAAUAAGUAGAUACAAAGAUGCCAGGCCUUACUUUGGGGUAGGUCUUUUUAUCAAGUAAACAGCAAAUUUUCUAUAGGUGUCAGAUGCUUCCAAUUAUUGACAUGUCUGGUGGAGGUUUCUUUGUAGAAGAUAAUGACUUAGGAAAUACAGAAAUACUGGUGAAG